rnacentral:ncRNA from 1 species
ACUGUUGCAUGAGUCUUGCUUAAUUUGACUCAACACAGGAAGACAUACCUGGCUGGACACAGGAAGGAUUGACAGGUUAAGAGCUCUUUCUUGAUUCUGUGGGUGGUGGUGCAUGGCCGUUCUUAACUGGUGAAGCGAUUUGUCUGGUUAAUUCCAAUAAUGAACAAGACUCUAGCCUACUAAAUAGACACUCCGAUCCUUCAAGUCGGACAUUCUUCUUAGAGGGACAAGCAUUGUUUAGCCACGUGAGACAGACCAGUAGUAGGUCUGUGAUGCCCUUAGGUGUGCGGGGCUGCACGUGCACUACAUUGGAGGAACCAGCAUGUACUUUCCCUAUCCAACAGGACUUGGUAACCCUGAAUGAGGAAUUCCCAGUAAGCACAAGUCAUAAACUCGUGUUAAUUACAUCCCU